CAGUAGCCACGGUAAUACGUAGGUCCCGAGCGUUGUCCGGAUUUAUUGGGCGUAAAGCGAGCGCAGGCGGUUAGAUAAGUCUGAAGUUAAAGGCUGUGGCUUAACCAUAGUACGCUUUGGAAACUGUUUAACUUGAGUGCAAGAGGGGAGAGUGGAAUUCCAUGUGUAGCGGUGAAAUGCGUAGAUAUAUGGAGGAACACCGGUGGCGAAAGCGGCUCUCUGGCUUGUAACUGACGCUGAGGCUCGAAAGCGUGGGGAGCAAACAGGAUUAGAUACCCCUGUAGUCCCUGUCUCUUAUACA
rnacentral:rRNA from 1 species